rnacentral:rRNA from 1 species
AUGUCUGCUAUGGAGAUCUUCAGGCAUGUCAGAAAAAUUGAUUGUUAUCCUAAUAUCUCCAUUGCCGGUCGCAUCUUAUUUAAUGUGCAUGUGACGGCUGCGUCGGCCGAAAGAAGCUUUUCAAAGUUAAAAUUAUUGAAGAACUAUUUGAGAUCAACAAUGUCUCUUGACUCGAGAGGUUAA